AUUGAACGCUGGCGGCAGGCCUAACACAUGCAAGUCGAGCGGCAGCGGAAAGUAGCUUGCUACUUUGCCGGCGAGCGGCGGACGGGUGAGUAAUGUCUGGGAAACUGCCUGAUGGAGGGGGAUAACUACUGGAAACGGUAGCUAAUACCGCAUGACCUCGAAAGAGCAAAGUGGGGGAUCUUCGGACCUCACGCCAUCGGAUGUGCCCAGAUGGGAUUAGCUAGUAGGUGAGGUAAUGGCUCACCUAGGCGACGAUCCCUAGCUGGUCUGAGAGGAUGACCAGCCACACUGGAACUGAGACACGGUCCAGACUCCUACGGGAGGCAGCAGUGGGGAAUAUUGCACAAUGGGCGCAAGCCUGAUGCAGCCAUGCCGCGUGUGUGAAGAAGGCCUUACGGUUGUAAAGCACGUUCGCCCCCGAGGAGGGCAACAGACUUAAGACGUGUGGUGAUUGACGUUGGUCGGAGACGAAAUUCCGGCGAAGUCCGUGCCCGACGCAGAGUGCUAGGGAUCGUCCCCAAUUAAUCCAUUUACCGAGUGUGAAGGUAACCGAGGGGGUGGUCAGAGGCGUGAGAUACCCCAAAGUCGGUUGAGGUGGGCUAGGUAGGGGGAAGUAGGAUCUUGUUCCAGGAGUUACCCCAUAGA
rnacentral:rRNA from 1 species